rnacentral:rRNA from 1 species
AUAGAUACCCGGGUACGUCCACGCCGUAAACGAAUGAGUGCUAAGUGGUUAGUAGGGUUUUCCGCCCUUUUAGUGCUGCAGCUAACGACAUUAACGCACGUCCGCCGUGGGGAGUAACGGUCGACAAGAACUAGUAAACUCGAAACGGAAUUGAACGGGGGCCCGCACAAGCGGUGGUAGCAUUGUGGUUUAAUUCGAAGCAACGCGUAAGGAACCUUACCAGGUCUUGACAGUACCUCUGACAACUCUAGAGAGUAGAGCGUUCCCCUUCGGGGGACAGGAGUGACAGGUGGUGCAUGGUUGUCGUCAGCUCGUGUCGUUGAGAUGUUGGGUUAAGUCCCGCGUAACGAGCGCAACCCUUGAUCUUAGUUGGCCUAGCGAUUUACGUUGGGCACUUCGUAAGGUGACGUGCCGGUGACAAACCGGAGGUAACGGUGGGGUAUCGGAACGUCAAACUCGAUCAUGCCCCUUAUGACCUGGGCUACGACACGGUGCUACGAAUGGAUGGUACAAGGGCUGCAAAGCCGCGAGGUCAAGUCCGAAUCCCAUAAACCAUUCGUCAGUUCGGAUUCGUAGG